GGGACCCUGCUGUGUCCGUGCACAGUCGAUAGUUUUUGAGCCAACACCUUAGAAGAGGGAGCCCGGCCUCUGGAUAAGGCGUACAUGCCCCGGCAAGGGGACGUGCAAAUUAUCCAGGAGGGCACCCACCUUGUGAGAGCGCGCUUCAAAAAAUAUCGACUCACGGCAUGGUGGGGGCAAC
rnacentral:other from 1 species